rnacentral:lncRNA from 1 species
AUCUUGUACAUAUAAAUUAAUUUCUUUUACAGAGCAUUAUAUUACUGGAUGUUUAAUUUGCAAAAUAGUUGGAUAAAUCUUCCAACAAACUUUAUAGUACCUUGAGGUCAAAUUGUCUGUUUUUUUUUUUUUUGUUGUUGUUGUUUUUGUUUGCUUUCACAUUCUAGAAACUAAAAGAAAAAUGUUUGUUUGGACAUGUUAAGCUU